ensembl:lncRNA
CUUGUUUAUUUUGGUUGCUUCUGCAAAGAUUAGUAACAUUCACAGAUUCAUAAGGCACAGGUGAUCCAGUGCAAUUCAAAGAUAAUAAAAAACCAAAGUCAUUGGAGUGAUCUUUUGGACUAUUUCUCCCAAUAUGAAAUGGAACUCUGAGUUCUUGAAGAGCUUGUUUCAGCAAUUCUCAUCUUCAAACUAUUGUAAAUGUUACAAUACAGAAUUGUAUUGGACUGGUGUCUGAUAUGUUAGGAACUGAGCCCAUGUGCAUAAUUAUAAAUAUGUAUUUAUGGAUGUACAGUCUCCAUAGGAUUUGUUUGUUGCUUUCAAUACUUUCAGAUUAAUAACUGAUUUGCUGCCAUGCAGAAGUCCCCCAAGGAAUUACAUUAGAGAAUCAUUUGAAAUAUUUGCAGAACCUCCCAAGCAGAAGAUAUUAUGAAUGCUAAAUGCAGAGAGAGAUAUCAUCCAUUUUUCACUCUGGCUGUGAUAAGCAAUAUGGAAAAAAAAGAGAGAGAAAAGAAGUCUCAAUAACAAAAUCCACAUUGAAAAGUUAGGCACUUUGAACUUUCCCAUCACCUUACCAGUGUUUCCCCACAGGCUGUCUAAAAGACAACUCAGCAAUGUCUGAAUGGGGCUGCACACAAUGGCUCCUUCACAAGUAGGUCUUUAAUUGAUUACGGCUGUGUUUAUAGAAGCAGAAGAGAAUUUACUCAAAAUGACAGAUUGCCUUUAGUGUUAAAAUAGUUUAGUAAUGUUAAUGGUAAAGGAGGUCCCCGCCACCUCCUCCUCAGCUGCAUGAAGCCCUAAAGAUGAGCUCUUUGUUCCUGCAGCCCCCAAUCGCUUCUUGCUCUCCCUCCUCCCCUCCCCGCUUCUUUCGUGCUUCCAGAGCGGGAUGCUCCUGGCUCCAGGGCCACAUUCACACAGCCGGCUCCUGCGGAGAUGACACCCCUUUCAGGAGUCAACUCAAGAAAAGAGGAUUAACCCUCCAGUCAUCUAUACAGUCCUUCCUGGUAGACUGGAAAGAUCAGUAAAUGAAAUCUCAAGAUGAAAUCUUGUCAGGAAUGGAGCAGUGCUGUGGCCCUUGCUGUUGCUCAGCCCAAACAGAGCAUGAAGAGAACUACAGAAACAAGAAUUUCCUCUCUCCCACUUCUGAGGCAGCAGUAGCAUGGGUAAGCAUUAAAUGAGUGUAAUGUGUGGCAAUCCUGCAGAACUGCUGUGCCCACAC